UGGUGGAGUGAUUUGUCUGCUUAAUUGCGAUAACGAACGAGACCUUAACCUACUAAAUACGUUACAUGUACAUUUUGUACAUGGCCAACUUCUUAGAGGGACUAUAUGAGUUAAUCAUAUGGAAGUUUGAGGCAAUAACA
rnacentral:rRNA from 1 species